rnacentral:piRNA from 1 species
GCUGAUGAUAUCAGUUAAGAUGUGUCCGU